GUGCACAAUGAACCAGAAGAAAACAAAGAUGGCACCAUCUCAGCCACUCAUGUGGGCAGUUUUGGAUUUAGGAGUAUUUCAGAUUUUGGAAUUCUGGAUAAGUUAUGCCCUGUACAAAGAAGAUGCAAAAGUCAAAAGGUCACCUGAGACUAGCUGAUAUGAUAGCAGUUUAUUGGCAGAAUUGGUUGACAGUAUUAACUGAUUUAUAUUUCACUUUCCUACAAAAAGUACCGACUGCAGUGUUUAAUAGGAUUGUAAUAGCAUAAAAUAAAAAUAAGUGAAAAGGGAAAUACAACAAACAAUUUUAGUCAGCAGCAACAAAAUACAACAAAUCAAAAUGCAUCUUUAAUUGUAGCAAGAGUUAAAAUGCUAUAAAGUUAAACUGGCAAAAUAAAAGUUGUGUAGUCUUUUCCCUUUCACAUGUAAAAGCAAGGGCUACUUUGUGUUGUCAAAGGCUUUCAUAGCUGGAAUCACUGGAUUGUUGUGAGUUUUCCAGGCUGUAUGGCCAUGUUCCAGAAGCAUUAUCUCCUGGCAUUUCACCCAUAUCUAUGACAGUCAUCCUCAGAGGUUGUGAGGUAUAUUGGAAACUAGGAAAGGGAGGUUUAUAUAUCUGUGGAAGGUCCGGGAUGGAAGAAUGAAUCCUUUUCUGUUGGAGGCAAGUGUGAAUUUUGCCUUGUUUCCAAUAUACCUCACAAUCUCUGAGGAUGCCCAAAAAACUCACAGCAACCCAUGGACUACUUUGUAGUUAUAGAAAAUCUUUUUUUUUUUUUUUGCAAUUCCCACAAUGAAUUGUCAUAUUUUUUUGUAAGUUACCACACACUUCCUUCAGUAUACUGAGCUUUUGCUUGGUUUAUUUAAAUCUAAAUACCGUAAUUGGUCAGUUUAAAAGGAGACGAUGAAUCAAUACAAAAACUCUUUAAACAUUCAAUGGGCCAGCAGGGCUAAAGAGUCAAUACAGAGGCUUCCCUUUGCCUUGCGCUUUGGUCUGUGCCACUUGUACGCGCACGCCGCUGUCUUCCCCAGAUUUCUGCUUUUGACCCACAUCCUGAAGGAAUAAUGGCCUCUGCUUUCUAUGGGCUUUAGAGUACGCAGAAUGGAAAUGCCUAGCCAAAGAGCAGACAGAAGCAGGCCCGGGAAGGCAGGGAGCGCGUGGCCUUGAAAUACAAAGACAACUGUUGCUGCUACUAUUUGCUGCUACCAUCACCACCAGAUCCAGAAUUAGGAGGUUGGUGUGAGGACCUUGGCAUCGGGAGAAAGGACAUACUUUCCAGGGGAGCUGAUGCAAACAGGAGUACAGGAUGCACUGGAAUGCACAUCAAUCACAACUAUUCCCAUUGAGAAAUACCUCAAGGGUCUAGAAUAGAUGAAGAUAACAGAACAUGGAAUCUGUUAUUGCUGUGAUGGCUACAUCAAAGGAAAGAUCCUUUCUGAGCAGGAAAGCAGGAAAAAUUAAGAUCCUACAUUGUAAAAUAACAAAUAUAUUAAUGAAUUAGGAUGGAGUUAUAUAGAGCUAUUGAGUGGUAUAAAACCUUGGCUUUGUCCCUAAUAGUGGCAUGUUGUCAUCAUUGUUAUGUUAUAAAGUUGGCUUUGACUUACCUUAUUGAUAUCUAUGAAUAAAAAAUCUGCAAGAGGUCCUGUUA